AGGGCUGUUGUGAGGACAUUCCUGCGUUUAAAUGAGAUUUAUUUAUUUAUUUAUUUAGAAGUUUUCUAUACCGGCCUUCUCAACCUCGAUGAGGGACUCAGGUCGGUUUACAGCAUAUAUAAAGUACAAUCAUAUAAAAGAACAACAGGUUCUUGGUAUGUGCUCAUUGAAUGAAUGCAGUUUGAUGAUACUCUAACUGCCAUGGCUCAAUUCUAUGAAAUCCUGGGAUUUGUAUUUCAUGAGGCACCAGCACUUUGGCAUAGGAGGCUAAAUAUCUUGUAAAUCAACAGCUCUUAUGAUUCCAUAGCAUUAAGCUACGGCAGUUAAAGUGAUGUCAAAUUCCAUCUACAGAGGAGAUGCACCCUGAAUCUGAGUGAAGUAGAUCCCAUAAUUUUUUUUUACCUUAGGCAAAUGGUUUAGUCCAUAUGAAAGCCAAACUAUAGUCCAAAGGUGGUAGGUAUAGGCUGGAUUUUAUUGCCUCACUUGCAUAACUUUGAACUAAUCUGAGUAUUUCAUUUUACUUCUGUACCCACUCCAGCGAGUUGGCCAAGCAAGUCUUGAAUUUCAUCAGUAGAUGGCCUGUUUUCAAGGCAAAGAAUUACAAACAAUAAUCCCUCUGCAGGCACACAGAGUUCUCUAGAUGUAAUAAUUUAAACAGCAAAAUGUUAUUUGCUCAUACUAAUGCAAAUUCUUGGAUUAAUGGGUGCAUGGCCCUAAUUUUCUCCAUUCCAUUCUGGGGAGAAAGUUACUUGUAUGAUGGUAAACAAAGAACAGUAGGCUUUGAUUCUAUCUCCCCCUUUUCUUUUUUGGAAAAGAAAGAGGGAUGAAGCAAUAGUAAAGUAAUUUUAAUUGUAACUCUAUGGCACUUUCUUUUACUAAGAUCACUUGUGUUCUGUUUUUAGGGAUAGGGUCACAUAAAGCAUCAGGAAUGUACAACAUGACCCCUUGUUCUAAGGAUUUUUGUCAACCCUACAUGAAAGGCUACUUGUGUUGGGAUGCUCCACUCAGAGGCUGUUCUCUGUUUAGCCUAUAUAUACAGAGAUGCAUGAAUAUUUGAUUAAUGAGUCAUGGUCUCUGGAGAAAUUUAAUAACUGUACAGCUAUACAAAGCUAGCUCCUCUACUGUUAACACAGCUGCCAAGGGUGUCUGUGACACUCAAGCCCUUUCGAGAUCUAAUUGUAUGCUGUGAAAUAAAUUCCUUCCUUACAA